AGAUUGAACGCUGGCGGCAGGCCUAACACAUGCAAGUCGAGCGGCAGCACGGGUACUUGUACCUGGUGGCGAGCGGCGGACGGGUGAGUAAUGCCUAGGAAUCUGCCUGAUAGUGGGGGAUAACGUUCGGAAACGGACGCUAAUACCGCAUACGUCCUACGGGAGAAAGUGGGGGAUCUUCGGACCUCACGCUAUCAGAUGAGCCUAGGUCGGAUUAGCUAGUUGGUAGGGUGAAGGCCUACCAAGGCUACGAUCCGUAACUGGUCUGAGAGGAUGAUCAGUCACACUGGAACUGAGACACGGUCCAGACUCCUACGGGAGGCAGCAGUGGGGAAUAUUGGACAAUGGGCGAAAGCCUGAUCCAGCCAUGCCGCGUGUGUGAAGAAGUCUUCGGAUUGUAAAGCACUUUAAGUGGAGAAGGCAUUAACCUAAUACGUUAGUGUUUGACGUUACGACAGAAUAAGCACGGCUAACUCUGUGCCAGCAGCCGUA
rnacentral:rRNA from 1 species